rnacentral:rRNA from 1 species
UACGAAGGGGCUAGCGUUGUUCGGAAUUACUGGGCGUAAAGGGUGUGUAGGUGGUCUAGUACGUCAGGAGUGAAAUCCCCAGGCUCAACCUGGGAAUUGCUUUUGAGACUAUUAGACUUGAGUACAGGAGAGGUGAGUGGAAUUCCCAGUGUAGAGGUAAAAUUCGUAGAUAUUGGGAGGAACACCAGUGGCGAAGGCGGCUCACUGGCCUGUAACUGACACUGAGACACGAA